GACGAACGCUGGCGGCGUGCUUAACACAUGCAAGUCGAACGGUGAAGGAGAGCUUGCUCUCCGGAUCAGUGGCGAACGGGUGAGUAACACGUGGGCAACCUGCCCCAGACUUCGGGGUAACGCUUCGAAAGAGGUGCUAAUACCGGAUACGAACUCCUUGGGCAUCCUUGGAGUUGGAAAGUUUUUCGGUCUGGGAUGGGCCCGCGGCCUAUCAGCUUGUUGGUGAGGUAACGGCUCACCAAGGCGACGACGGGUAGCCGGCCUGAGAGGGCGACCGGCCACACUGGGACUGAGACACGGCCCAGACUCCUACGGGAGGCAGCAGUGGGGAAUAUUGCGCAAUGGGCGAAAGCCUGACGCAGCAACGCCGCGUGAGGGAUGACGGCCUUCGGGUUGUAAACCUCUUUCAGCAGGGAAGAAGCGAAAGUGACGGUACCUGCAGAAGAAGCACCGGCUAACUACGUGCCAGCCGCCGCCGUAA
rnacentral:rRNA from 1 species